rnacentral:lncRNA from 1 species
GGGGCGGCGAGGCCGGGGCCGCCCGCUCCGCAGCCAGCGGCGGAGCCACGCUGAUCGGCGCAGCCUGGCCGCGGUGCUCCCGGCGGGGUGACCGCCCCUCGGCAGCGGGCGCCGCUGAGGCAGCAGCUCUCUGUAAACGCGUUAUGUGAAGUACGUACGGCUAGCUACGACACCAAAUCAAGGCUCCUGCAAUUACAGGU